rnacentral:rRNA from 1 species
UGCAUCGAGAGGUGUGGGCAAUCUGUUGAACCUGCGUCGUGAUGGGGAUAGAUUAUUGCAACUAUUAAUCUUCAACGAGGAAUUCCUAGUAAGCGCGAGUCAUCAGCUCGCGUUGACUACGUCCCUGCCCUUUGUACACACCGCCCGUCGCACCUACCGAUUGAAUGAUUCGGUGAAACUUUCGGACCGUGGCCUCGACACCUUCGGGCGACUUGGCCGUGGGAAGUUAUUUAAACCUCAUCAUUUAGAGGAAGGUGAAGUCGUAACAAGGUUUCCGUAGGUGAACCUGCGGAAGGAUCAUU